UCCUCGGUAGCUCAAUGGUAGAGCGCUCGGCUGUUAACCGAGUGGUUGCUGGUUCGAGUCCAGCCCGAGGAGCCA
rnacentral:tRNA from 1 species